CAAAGGCCCCACCUGAUACCCCGACUGGGUGUCCAGUCUCCCACCUCUGGAUGCAGACCCACCCUCCAUCAGCUGGCCACAGGGAGCUCACCAAUUCCUGAUCUGUGAUGCUCUCCCAAAUGAAAGUCUUCUGCUCCGGAAGCAGCAGAAGCAGCAGGAGUAGGGUGGGAGGUCAGCGUCCCCUGCUCUGUCCGAAAUCCCACAUCCCAUUCUGCCCCCAGGCCUUUCCACGGGUAAGGAGAAGGCACUUAGCCUCCGGAUGAUGAAAUACUGGGCCAACUUUGCCCGCACAGGAAACCCCAAUGAUGGGAAUCUGCCUUGCUGGCCACGCUAUGACAAGGAUGAAAAGUACCUGCAGCUGGAUUUUACCACGAGAGUGGGCAUGAAGCUCAAGGAGAAGAAGAUGGCUUUUUGGAUGAGUCUGUACCAGUCUCAAAGACCUGAGAAGCAGAGGCAAUUCUAAGGGUGCCUACGCAGGAAGGAGCCAAAGAGGGGUUUGCCCCACCACCCAGGCCCUAGGGAGACUAGCCAUGGACAUACCUGGGGACAAGGGUUCUACCCACCCCAAUUUAGAACUGCAGGAGCUCCCUGCUGCCUCCCAGCCAAAGCUAGAGCUUUUGCCUGUUGUAUGGCACCUGCACCGCCCUCUCCAGCCUGACAUCCCAUGAUGCCCCACUACUUCACUGUUGACAUCCAGUUAGGCCAGGCCCUGUCAACACCACACUGUGCCCAGCUCUC
rnacentral:sRNA from 1 species